UGGGGAAUAUUGCACAAUGGGUGCAAGCCUGAUGCAGCAACGCCGCGUGAGGGACGACGGCCUUCGGGUUGUAAACCUCUUUUGGCAGGGAAGAAGCGAAAGUGACGGUACCUGCAGAAAAAGCACCGGCUAACUACGUGCCAGCAGCCGCGGUGAUACGUAGGGUGCAAGCGUUGUCCGGAAUUAUUGGGCGUAAAGAGCUCGUAGGCGGUUUGUCGCGUCUGCUGUGAAAACCCGAGGCUCAACCUCGGGCCUGCAGUGGGUACGGGCAAACUAGAGUGCGGUAGGGGAGAUUGGAAUUCCUGGUGUAGCGGUGGAAUGCGCAGAUAUCAGGAGGAACACCGAUGGCGAAGGCAGAUCUCUGGGCCGUAACUGACGCUGAGGAGCGAAAGCAUGGGGAGCGAAC
rnacentral:rRNA from 1 species